CGAUCAGCCCGAAACUUCAACAUCUUUUUGACAGCUCCGUCCCCAGGUUGGCAGCCUCAAAGGACCCACCGGCCACCCUGAUCCUACCAUGCCUCUGAGAAAGAUCCUUCAGAUCCUGUGGGCAUAAGGGUUAAAUGAAGCUCCAGAUUCAUCUGCUGUUAUUGCUGCCGCUGCUGAGAAGCUGAGAUUGAUUGAGCAGGUCUCCUUUCUCUUCUGUCAGCCUGCCCAGCCUUCUUCUGUGUGGACAGGAGCAUAAUGAAUGAAGAUCCUCUGCCCCGUCCCUCCGACUUGCUCCCCUCAGACAGCACGGGGUUGCUUUUCCUCCCUGUGUGGCGGUCCUACCGAAGAGAAGCAAGUCGACCAGAUGGGCGUGGACGUUGUGGAACCAGAGCUGGUGGCUAGGAUGGGGCUGCUCAGGCAAUAUUAAAGGAGAGCUUCCUCUCAA
rnacentral:antisense_RNA from 1 species